rnacentral:rRNA from 1 species
AAAGGAAUUGACGGGGCCCGCACAAGCGGUGGAGCAUGUGGUUUAAUUCGACGCAACGCGAAGACCUUACCAGGCUUGACAUCCCCUGACCGCGUAUGAAAGUACGUUUUCACCCUCGGGUGACAGGGAGACAGGUGGUGCAUGGUUGUCGUCAGCUCGUGUCGUGAGAUGUUGGGUUAAGUCCCGCAACGAGCGCAACCCCUACGUUUAGUUGCUAACGCGUGAAGGCGAGCACUCUAGACGAACUGCCGUUGACAAACGGAGGAAGGUGGGGAUGACGUCAAAUCAUCAUGCCCCUUAUGUUCUGGGCUACACACGUGCUACAAUGGCCGGUACAGACGGACGCAAAGCCGCGAGGUGGAGCAAAUCCUAAAAAGCCGGUCUCAGCUCGGAUUGCAGGCUGCAAUUCGCCUGCAUGAAGUCGGAAUCGCUAGUAAUCGCAGGUCAGCAUACUGCGGUGAAUACGUUCCCGGGCCUU